rnacentral:sRNA from 1 species
GCCGGGCACAGUGGCGGGUGCCUGUAAUCCCAGCUACUCGGGAGGCUGAGAUGGGAGAAUCGCUUGAGCCUGGGAGGCAGAGGUUGCAGUGAGCUGAGACCAUGCCACUGCACUCCAGCCUAGGCAACAGAGCGAGGCUCUGUAUCAU